rnacentral:rRNA from 1 species
UACGGAGGGGGCUAGCGUUGUUCGGAAUUACUGGGCGUAAAGGGUGCGUAGGCGGGUUUUUAAGUCAGGGGUGAAAUCCUGGAGCUCAACUCCAGAACUGCCCUUUGAUACUGAAGAUCUUGAGUCCGGGAGAGGUGAGUGGAACUGCGAGUGUAGAGGUGAAAUUCGUAGAUAUUCGCAAGAACACCAGUGGCGAAGGCGGCUCACUGGCCCGGUACUGACGCUGAGGCACGAAAGCGUGGGGAGCAAACAGG